CCACCCCUAGUUCAUUUCCCAGAGUUAGGAGUCUUUAUGUUCUGUCUCCCUUUCUGAUAUUUUCCACUCAUUUUUUUCUCCUGAGGGGAAAGUUUUGAAUUGGCAAUUUAAAAACUGUGUUUGGUGAUGAUCUGACACUUCUAAAAAUCCUUUUGGACUCCUCCUUUUCAAACUUAUAUUGCUCAGGAUAGUAAUGGAUAGAGGUUGCUGGAAUCAGAGUUAAAAACAGGGUGAUCUGGAGAUGAACAUAAAAUGUACUUUUGUAAUUGCCAUAAAUUACCCCUCUAAUCAGAGUAAAUGUCACCUAAAAUAUAAUCAAAUGUUCUUUCACAUUUGCUCUUUUAAAGUCAGAGCCCAUUUUAAAUGCCAUAAGAGACAGUAGACAUGGUAAUAAUAUAAAAAUAAGCACAAAAUUUGGUUUACAUUAAAUUCAUUUUAAAGUCAAAAUCUGACAUGGGUUUGCACUGUCGUGUGUGUGUGUGUGUGUGUGUGUGUGUUCCAACUCAGUGGGUUUUGCCACCAAUGUUGGUUUUGGGAGCCAGGCCACAAUGCUUAAAUCUAUUGUAAUAAGGUUCAUUUAGCCUGAAUGGUUUUAUAAGGUGAAAAGGCAAAAAGUUUAACACUAAUGAAAAUUCACAGCUUACUAUGAUUGCAUUAAUUGUUCACAGGCCAGAAGCCCACCUGCGGGAAGUACAAAGUUUCAAUGCUGUUUUGUUUUUUUUUCACACUGACAAAACUCACAGGAAAAAGAAAAAACAAAACCUUCUGUAUAUUUUUCCUGCUGGGUGGUCAGAAGGAAAGGCCAUGGAGCCAAAGGCCUCCCAUGGAGACAGUGCUCUGUGAGAGGGGCCUCACGUGCCGCAGCCGCAGGAGACGGGAGCACCUGUCGGGCCUCCGCCACUCCACGGUGAGCUCUGCGUGUGCCACCUGCGCGUGCGGGGGACACCACGCACCACUCCUGGCGGGCACAGGGCCUCCCUGCCCAGAGACGCCUGCCCCAUGUGCCCAAGUCUGGCUCAAGACAUCCUGGAAAAUGUCGUGUGCCCAUUGUCCAGUAGAGCUGCUAGGUAGUUUUAAAGCCAAUGAGCAUUAAAUUUGGUCUAAAAGAUGUGUGUGUGUGUGUGUGUGUGUGUGUGUGUGUGUUCUGCCCUGCAGGGAAGAAGCAAUAGAAGAUGGGGGGAGGGAGAAUUCUAUUUAGACAUUUGCAAAUGUGUGUUGGAACCAUGUAAAAAAGGAUUCCUUAAAAUAUGUUACUUUUGCUAUGUUUUUGUGUAAACAUGGAUGAUGGAAUAACCUUUUUUUUUUAUCUGUAAGGAUCGCAAUAAAACUGUCAAGUACAAGAUGUUAUGCAUUUCUUUUCCAAGCACAGAUUUUAAAAUACUGUAUUUAGUACAGAAAUGUUAGCACAUAAUAAAGGAGAAACACACUUGCUUUUCUGAUCAAGUGCUUAGAUUAAAUGUAUGCCACCUUUAUGAAAACUGGGGCCAGGUGAAGGAAUCGUAGUCUGCUUGGGUAAAUGAAUUUCUUUUCUCCUCCCUAACUCUUAACAUGAAGAAAAACUUGCCCAGGGAAAUUUUUCUCACACAUCAUUUUAAGAGUGAUCUGAAAAUUAUAUUGAAUUGUUGUGGGUAACUCAGGGAAAUUACUUUUCUCCUUUUGAGAUCAUGGAUUUCCACAAGAGGGGAAAUGUUUUUUUAUUGCCAAUUUCUGCAAAGAAUGCACAUGUGCCUGGUAUGCUGCACAAAGCUGCACACGCUGGGAGGCGCCUGAGGAGGAAGGAAUGCCACAGUGGAAGGCAAAGACACAAAUAAUGAAUCAAGUUUAAAGGACUGUGGUCAGAAGCAAGGAGCAAGUGAUACUGAUCUUAUAUGAGACGGGCUUGGACAUCACACCAGCUGCCACGGGGUUUGAUUAAUGAGGCAUUAAGGAGAUCGAGUGACACUUACAGCUAGUUACUUAUGGUGCUAAUUUCAAAACACUUUGCAAUAGACAAAGAGACUCUGCUCAUAAUGCAAAGUAAUUUGUGGUUUGUUCCUGGUGAAUGCAUUUAGCGAAGCAAAUAUAGUUAUGCAGAAUUUAAAUUAAGGUUGACACUAAUGUAAACAGAACCCAAGAACCACUGUCCAAUAAUUUGAUGAGGACACAGGUUUUAAUCAAGCCUCUUCCACUAAAAUAGCAAUUUAAAUCCCCAUCGUUUAAACUGGAUAAAAUGCUUAACCAUGAAGGUUGGGGGAAAAAGAAAUUUACUGGAAAAGAUAAAAGAAACACAGUAUCUCUGGGGAAACUGUGACUAUACUUUGAACCAACAGAGGGUUACCAUACUGAUUUAAAUAUCAGGUUGAUUGUAGGGCCAGAGUCUAGGAAUUUGAGGGCGUUUGCCAUGUAUCUUUUUUUGUUGUUGUGAAAUUGUGGCUUAACACAUUCUGGUACUAUUGACUUCAGAAUAAAAAUGAUCCUGUAACAAGGAAAUGGAGACUUCAAACUGAUUCAGAAUCCCCAGAAGUAUUUAUUUUAUUUAUGAGAAGGAGAAAUACCCCCUGCCACCCCACAACUGAAAAUUUGAACUGAAAUUUUCCAUAUUGACUGGGGUUGGUGAGGAUGGAGACAGCCUGGUAAGGAAGCUGGCCUGCCUACCCAGGUGAGUACCUUUUCCAGAAAGAACCCACACACUCAUACAUGGCUUUUCUCCAGUUUGCUAGUUUAUUUCCCCUUACUAAAAAUCAUUAGGGGAGGAAGGUGGUCAGUCCAGGCAUUAACAUUAAUUAAAAUGCUAGCCACCCAUGUUCUAGGGCCUGGGAUGUCUUGUGUAUCAGAAACAAAACAAAACAAAAUAGCAGCUUACUCUGCUACAGUUCCUGGAAAGAAAAAUCGGUGAAGGCUAGAAACCACAUAUCCUACGGUCUCAGGACUUUACUGUUGACAGUGGAGUAGGAAGGCUGGGGCACCCUAAAUUCUCUGAAUUGUGACCCAACAGUUCCAGAUCACAUUAAUGAUGUAUCUUCUGAGGAAAACUUCGUACAGGGGUAGGGUUUUAAAUACUUAUUGCAUAGAAAAGGCCCAAAAUGAUGUAGGAAAAAGAGGUGUUAAAUGUAAAGCAUUCUGAAAUGUUCCUAGCAGUAAUUCUCAAGGUCACCCACCUUAUGGAAGUUGGUCAAGGGCAGAGACUCAAAUUUUGAAGAGGACGGCAUUUACCUUGAUCUUGGCACCAUCUAUAUGGCAACUGGUCUUGUGUUUGGCAAAUAAAUCAUGCUCUUAAGAUCCCUCGGGCAGAAGGGGAGGACCAGCCUGCACUGAUCCAGGAGCCCACGUGCCCUGCUGUGGGCCUUGGCCCCACGAGGGAUGUGUCCUCCUGGGAAGGAGCCACUGCCCAUUUCUCUGCUUCCCCCUCCUCCGUGGUGGACUGUCAGCGCUGCUCUGUGAAGACACUCCUUUAGGUGUGUGACCUGCGGAAAACCCAUGGCUCAGACUUCCUUCCUCUAAACAUGUUUAGGAGGGGAAGGGACCUCUGGAGUCACAGAGAAGGAACUGAGAAUGCAUCUGUGUGAAUUACAGCUGCAAAGAUGGGGAUUCUGAGAGUAAAGAGGUCUGCCUCCUUUGUGUCCAAGACAGGUACUUUGGCAUCCUGAGGUCGGGAGCCCAGACGCAGAGGUGAGAGGGGACAGGCUGGGAGGUGGCUCAGAAACCACCUGGCUGAGGCUCACACAGGGGUGCAGCCUGUAGGUGCUUCCUCUCUCCUGCUGGAGGAGAAGCCACAGAGAUCUUAGAGGGAUGGUGACGGGGGAGGAGAGAAGUGUGCAGGGCCAAGGUGGCCUGUUAGAACGCCUUCCAGAAUGACAUGAGGAAAACGAUUCGUGGGUGAUGACUCUGGGGGUCUCUCUGGUUUGGGGACAUAUGGGCCCCUUUUGGAUCCUGAUUCAUAGACUCAUCACCUCUGUAGAGAGCAGUCCCUACGGGCUGGGAUGCACUUGGCAUUGACAUAGAAUGUUGAUUUUUGCCCUUGCGGGCAUGACCCCUCCCAGCCUGCUCCUGGUAGUUGCAAGCUUCAGGGGACAGGGUAGGGGCAGGUCUGAUGAGCAUUCCACUCAGCUCUUGGGGGGAUGACAGUGAGCAGCCCCAUGGUGCUCCUCUUCCUCCCUGCCUCCUCUUCCUCUCUCCCUCACCCCUACUUCCUGCAGUCCCCUUCCCAGGAGGCCCACUCAUGACCUCCCACUUUCAGCUGAAAGAGUUGUCCUCCACUUAUCUCCCUGUGCUCGCUGGGGCUGGCCUGUCGGUGUGCGCUGGAGGUGCCACUGGGAGAACCAUUGCGCUCUCCCCUUCACUUUAUUCUUCUAACCACAAAUCCGGAGCCUCAUGCCUCUGAGCUCACUUGCCACACACUCUCAGAAGCAUCUUUUUCUUCUUUACACUGAUGCACUGAUGCUGAAGGGACUGGGGUGGUAGCAUGUCACCCUCGGCCCCUGGGAAGUAACACGGGUGAAGGCUUGGAAAUGCCAACGCAUCUGUUGUCCUCAGCCUCUCUCUCUCUCUCUCUCUCUCUCUCGUCAGCAGAUAAAAUAAAAUAAUUUCCCAGACCACUGUAAAAAAAAAGUUGGCUUUGCAAAAUUCCCUGGUCAUAAAUGAUGCUGGUGAUGCAUUUGGGACUCAUUUCUGGUUAUGGAAACAAGGGGUGCGAUUUGGUGUGAGCCGUCAGCUCCUGAUCCUUGCUGAGAAGGACUCGCAUUCUUUUGCCUGCUCUGUGAAAGAAAUCCAAACCUGUUUCUCCAGCCCUACCUCUCGAUUUGGAAUCCCAGUGCAAAUCCCAACAUCAACAAGGUUGCUAUGUUUUUUUUUUUUUAUGAUUAUCUUAAGAAUUUGUCUCAAGUGAGGCUCGAGUACUGCCAAGGAAAGGUGCCGAGAUCACACUCCGCUCAGCACACAUUCCUCACUUUCUUCCUUCCUGUCUACCGUGCUGCAAACACCACCUCCGGCCACACAAAGCUUGCUUUCUUACAAGAACCAUCAUCUGCCAUGAACCUCUGGCCUCAGAGCCCUCCACUGAUUUCCACUUAAACAGAGAUGACAUGACAAAGUUCUUCACAUCACCUUUAAAGCAGGCUCUGAAAAAAAAAAAAAAAGAAAGAAAAAAGCAGGCUCUGUUCCCAAGAAUCCCUGACUCCUUCUGUGGCCCACCAUAGGGAUGCCCCCCACUGAAGGAGCCCAAGGCCCUUCCAUGGCAGGAGGCCCUUGAGAGGCCCUGGUUGUCUGUGGAAGGCUCUUUCCAGAUACCAGCAAGCCUGCACAGCCAUCCCAAUAGACAACUGAUUCCCACGUGGACUGUUCCUUGUCAAAUGCCAGUGUCGGUGUUGGGUCUCUUCUUUGUGAGGUAGCUGGAGGGGUGAGAUCCUUAACUGCACCAAAGGUAAUUUUGCACCAACGUGGGUAUAAAUGGGUUGGCGGACAGGCUUUUUUUGGUCUGGGAAUACCCACUGAAAAAUAGGUUCUGUGGUGGGGGACUUUUCCAUUGAAAGUCUAAACCAGGGGCACCUGGGUGGCUUGGAUGGUUAGGCAUCUGCCUUUGGCUCGGGUCAUGAUCCCAGAGUCCUGGGAUGGAACCCCACAUCGGGCUUUCCUCUCAGCAGGAGUCUGCUUCUCCCUCUCCUUCUGUGUUCUCCCUUGCUCUCUCUCAAAUAAAGAAAUAAUUUUUUUUAAAAGAUAGUCUAAACUAAACUCCUGAGAUUUACUAUAAUAUACUGCUUCUAAUAAGCAUUUUGGGGGCCAGUUCCAGGAUCGAGUUGUUUCUCUCGGAUCUUUUUUCUAGGUUUCACUGUCUGUUCUCUUCUUUCCUUCUUCCUUUCCUCCAGGACCCCGGGGUAGGCCCCUGGUGUGUCUCCUGACCCUUGCCAGUGCUCAAGCUUCUGGCCCCCCCAGCUCUGCGGAUCAUUAAUGAUAUUGACUACAUGGCAGAAAGAAUAAUUCUGACUUAUUCUACAGAAUUUUUCAUAUGUGCAGGGGUGUUGCAGCUUCCCCUGUGUAUUUACUUAACCAAUUCAUUACAUAGGGACUGAAGCAUCUGAAUUUUUCCAGAUGAAUGAGUCAAUAUUUUAUUUCCUUAAAAUGCACAUGACUCAGCAUUUUAGGAUAUCUCUGAGCAAUGGGUCUAUUUGUUGUUUAUUAGCACUUUUCUAAGAAAUAUCUAGAGAUGAAAGGGUGGAUUCUGAUGGUUUAGGGAAAUUUCUGAGGUUAUCUGAGCACACCAGUUAUCUGUGAAGUUGGAGCAAUACCAGUUGGGAUGUCCAUUGACCUAAACCAGCAGGACAGUUUUCAUGCUCUUGUGAAAUUUCCAAAUCACAUUCCUUUGUUACUUGAGAGUCAGUUGGUCAAGGUAUUGGCAAUGUUUCAAUUCUCCCUUUCUUUAAUUAUUUACCAAAUCCUGUUAAUUCUUCUUUCGUAAUGCACAUUUAUCACUGCUUUUCCAUUCUCCCUGCCAGCACCAUCAUAUAGGCCCCUAUGACAAGGAAAACCUGCUUUCUGUACCACCUGUGUUGUUACCAAUAGUGGGUUUCCAGAGGUUUGUGCCCAGGCCCACAGAGAGGGACAGUUUGAACAAGCUGCUUACAUCCAAUUAUCAUUAUACAUUUUUAAAAGAUUUUAUUUAUUUGAAAGAGAGAAUGAGAGUGAGAGAGCGCACAUGCAGAAGAGAGAGGGAGAAGCAGGCUCCCUGCCAAGGAGGGAGCCCAAUUUGGGGCUAGAUCCCAGGACCCUGAGAUCAUGACCUAAGCCGAAGGCAGACGCUUAACCAAUUGAGCCACUGAGGCACCACUAUCACUGUGCUUUUUAUGAGGGAUUCUAUACCUAUCAUUUCAGUGUCAGUGACAGAUCACAUUCUGAACCUUGCUUUUAUCUUAAAGAAAUCAACUAUAGUUUAUCAUGGAUAUGAAUAAACAUUUUUUAUUAAAGGAAUAUCAAUUUUUAUAUGUAUUGACCUACUAUGUGUAGAGUCUUGAAUUUUUUGCUGAUCAAAAUAGAUCAGAUUUUCUGUAAGAAAGUAAGAACUUGUAUCUCCCUGCCAAUGUGGAAAGUAUUGGAGAUUCAUCCUAGAUGGGUGGGGUAGAUGGCUAUGGACCUACACAUCAAUCUGAACAUCACAAAAAGAGAUGACACAAGACAUUUGUACCUACCAAUGUGAUACAAUAGAAAACACACAAAAUUUUUUGACAAAAAUCAAGCAUGAACCACAUCAAACCGCUGGAUCUAACUGAAAUAUAGAGAACCGAAAAAACUGAAUGGUACUGUUUGAGUGUUGUCAGUAAAAUCCAGAUGGUGGGAAACAGCAUAUAUUAGAUAUAAUACCUUGUUUCUUCAACAAAUAAUCAUUAAGAAAAAAGGGAGAACUUACAGAUUCAAACAUAUAGAAAGCAUAUAUUAGCCAAUUGCCACCUGUAGAUUUUUAGAUCUUAUUUCAAAAAACAACUUCCUCCUUCACCUCCCCCAGCCCUGUAAUAGUAUGAGAUAAUUAGAAAAAUCUAAACAUGUAUGGCCUAUUCAGGAAUUAUUGUCAACUUUUUAUAUGUAGCAAUGGCAUGUGACUAUACUUUUUAAAGUUUGUACCUUUUAGAGUAACAUUCAAAAAAUUAUCUAAGGAAGGCAUGAUUUAAUAUGGGUUAAUUCUAAUUAACCUUCCAAUGAAGCAGCUGGGGAAUAUAGUGGGUGGAGUAAACGUAAAUUAAGACUGACUAUGGGUUGGUAAUUCUGGGAGUGGACUGAUGUGAUAUACCAUUGUCUCUAAUGUAUCUGAAAAUUUCCUAAAUAACAAGUGAAAAAAUUGGGGUUCACACUACUUAAGCUGUUUGCCCCCCAGAUCUCUCAGCAGUUUCAUGUUAGAGAUAGACUGGAGUCUGGGUGACCAUCUUCCUGUCUACUGAAGCCACAUGGGCCUCUCCUAGACUCUUGUCAAGGGCUUUCCUAGUGCUGACUGCUGACGUAGUCAAAGAAGUCAUCUGUAGGUGAUGCUGUGACUAGUUUACUCCUUUUGUUCUUUUUAACUCCCCACUGUUUAGUCUGUUACCAGAAUACACACCACAUUUCAACCCUGGAAUCACAGACCCAACAGCCAUCUCUCUGUGAGCAUGGCAGUGGAAGACACCAUUCAUUAGCAUUUCCUUCUUGAAACUCUUUUCCUUGCUUUCCAUGAUGAUGCAGCUAUGGAUUUUCUUCUGAUGUUGUAAUAAUCAUUUCCUUAACCAACUGCUCAUCAUUCUCCUAUUCAUCCAUGGAAGCCCCUCUGAGGCUCCAAGGUUCAGCUCUCUGCUUUUCUUUCUUUUGACUCUUCUAUCUAAGAGCUACACCUACUCCCCAUCACCUUUGUGUAGAGGACCUCCACCCAGCCUCUAGCCUCAUCUCCCUCCUGAGUUCUUUAAUCUAACCUCUUUAGAUGCUUGUCAGACAUUUCUUCUGAUGGCCCUAGAUAUCACUCCAUCCUACCCAGCGUUUCGACAAAAUGAGUUCCUUCUCUCAUCUUCCCCUUCCAUGUUUUUGAGGCACCAUAUUUACUGUUGGCUCUUGUUUGUAAUGUCUCACCUCCCAUGUUUAUCUCCUUUUCCAACCUCACCUCCAACAUCCAUGUCCAGGCCCCUCUGUUUUACCUCCUUUCUGGGUUUCCUGGCAUCUUUCACUCUAUGACCUGGCAUCUGGAAAGUAUCCCCAAGCCUCUCUGUUCCUAUGCUCACCAAGGCCAUCAGAGAAUUCUUGUUUCUUACAAGAUGAAAUUCUCUCUCUCUCUUUUUAAAAGAUUUUAUUUAUUUAUUCAUGAGAGACACACAGAGAGAGGCAGAGACAGAGGCAGAGGGAGAAGCAGGUUCCAUGCAGGGAACCUGAUGUGGGACUUGAUCCCUGUUCUCUGGGGUCACACCCUGCUGAAGGCAGAUGCUCAACUGCUGAGCCACUCAGGUGCCCCAAGAUGAAAUUCUCAAUUUAUUUCUUCAAUAUCUUCUAAUGAUUUCAAUUGCUAGCUCAAUGACCAGACUCAACACUAGCCUCCUCAAAGACAACAUCUCCCUCCAAUUCUGAACCUUCUCAUUUCCCUCCUCCUUGGGGUGAAGCAAGGCAAAGGUGAGUCCCACCUUUGUUUCAAGACUGAGUUUACUGGAAAUCAUAGAUGGGGUCUCCAUAGUCUGAAAUUGUUAGCUUGGCUUACUUGACCUUAGCUUGGCAUGUAAUGGAAAGACUACUCUAAGCUGGCUGGUCCCCUAAUGCUUGUGGCCUUAAACCAUUGUUCAACCUCUCUUGUCCAUUUAAAAAUGAAGAUAAACCCAACUUGGUUACCCAACUUCCUGAAUAAAGUUGGGCACUGUGCUGGGCCCUUGGAACCUAUAAAAACUGACUGGUUAAUUUCAUCUAUAGAUAUUUUCCCCUUUCUUGGAAGAGAAUACAAAUAUUUUAGGGUUGAGGCUGUCUCAUUCAUCUCAUGGCUGUCAGUCCUCAACACAGUGUGGAGAACAGAAAGUGUUCAAUAAAGAUGAUUGAGUAAAUGAAUCAUUCAUGACCUUCUUCCCCCCACCCAAUCCUAAACCCAACCCCCUCUUCACAGGCACAAGUAUAAAGAUGCCGGCAUACCUGCGUGUGUCAGCAGAUUUUCUGGGAGAUGCCCAUUUUUAAACAGUCUCCCAGUUUUUUUCCUAGUAAGCGCACUUGUCAGAUCAUGUACUUGCAUUUCUUUCUUUUCUUUUUUUAUAACUGGAAGUUUGUACCUCUUAAUGCCCUUUGCCUACUUUACCUGUCCCUUCCCCUUUUGGUAACUACCUGUUUAUUCCCUAUAUCUAUGAGUCUAUUUCUGUUUGUUUUGUUUUCAGAUUCUGUGUAAAAGUAUAUGUCUUUCCCUGUCUGACUUAUCUCACUUAGCCUAAAGCCCUCUCUUUUUGUGACUGAGUAAUAUUCCACAGAAAUUCACCACAUCUUUUUUAUCCAUUUUCUAUUGGUGGACACUUGAGUUGCUUCCAUAUCUUGGCUUUUGUAACUAAUACUACAGUGGACGUAGGGGUGCAUAUAUCUCUUUGAUUGGUGUUUCUGUUUUCUUUAGAGAAAUACUCAGAGGUGGAAUUGCUAGGUAGUAUAGUCAUGCUAUUUUCAUUUUCUGAGGACCCUCCAGACCAUCUUCCAUAGCUGCUGCAUCCAUGUACAUUCCCACCAACAGUGCACAAGGGUUUUCCUUUUCUCUACGUCUUCAACAACACUUUUUUUUUAAUUGGAGUUCAAUUUGCCAACAUAGAACAUAACACCCAGUGCUCAUCCAGCCAAGUGCCCCACUCAGUGCCUGUCACCUAGUCACCCCCACCCCCCGCCCACCUCCCUUUCCACCACCCCUUGUUCGUUUCCCAGAGUUAGGAGUCUCUCAUGUUCUGUCUCCCUCUGUGAUAUUUCCCACUCAUUUUCUCUCCUUUCCCCUUUAGUCCCUUUCAUUACUUUUUAUAUUCCCCCAAAUGAAUGAGACCAUAUAAUGUUUGUCCUUCUCUGAUUGACUUGCUUCACUCAGCAUAAUACCCUCCAGUUCCAUCCACAUCGAAGCAAAUGGUUGGUUUUUGUCGUUUCUAAUGGCUGAGUAAUAUUCCAUUCAACAACACUUGUUAUCUUUGUCUUUUUGAUAAUAGCCUAUCUGACAGAUGUGAGGUGAUGUCUCAUUAUGGUUUUGAUUUGCAUUUCCCUGGUAAAGAGUGAUAUUGAGUAUAUUUUUGUGUUAUGUACUUGUAUUUCUUGAUUUAAAAAAUAUCACUAAGUGGUAUAUACUUUUGGUUUGCAUGUUACUGAAACUCUCAGUGGCCUAGGUGACUUGAGGUGGGUGUGGAGGACAAUAGGGAGAACUGAAUAGGUGGGUGGCAGGAGAAUGUGUGGAUCUUUGCAUAUAAAUACCCAAAUCUAAUCUGUUACUUCUCCAACACAUCUCACUGAAGCUGCCUUUCCCCUUCCCAUAUCUGCUCUGAAAGGUAAUUUCUUUUCUUUUCUUUUCCUUUCCUUUCUUUUCUUUUCUUUCUUUUCUUUUCUUUUUUUAAGAUUUUAUUUAUUUAUUUAUUCAUGAGAGACACAGAGAGAGAUCCAGAGACACAAGCAGAGGGCGAUGCAGGCUCCACGUAAGGAGCCUGAUGUGGGACUCAAUCCCAGGACUCCAGGAUCCCACCCUGGGCCGAAGGCAAGAUACUCAACCACUGAGCCAACCAGGGAUUCCCAGGCAAGAUUCUCAUUACUGAAACAGGACAGUAGCCCCAUAAGUAAUCUCUCCGUGUCAUAUGUGUGCUCACUUGAUUUGUCCCAGCCACUGCUGUAAACUUGGUAUUCCUGAAGAACAGUUAGAACACAUUCUUUCUCUCCUUAAAAGCCAUCAGUGACUCCCCUGUACCUGAUGUGCUGGUAUGUACCAAUGCAUCUUGGUUUUUUUUGACUUACCACUAUAUAACCACUCAACAUUUUUAACUUCAUAACUUACAUCUUAAUCUCUAUAUAUUCUAUGCUCUAGCAAAAUGGAAAUAUUUCCUGUCCUCAGAGCAUAUGUUCUACUUAGCCACCUUCAACUUUUUCUUUGUGUGGUUCCCAGGAUGUGAAAACUCUCCUUCCAAGCACAACUGUUGAGAUCUGCCUAUCUCUGAAGGUCAAUCUUGAGCACUACCACAUCCCUGAGUCUUUUCAGAUCAAGCCUUCUCAACACUGUGUAAUUCUUAUGAUAUUUAACAUAUUUAUCUUGGAAUCUUAAUGCUGUAUCCAUGUUUCCAGCCUGGGGCCUUGAACAGAGUAAGCAUUCUAGAUAUGUAUGGCAUUGAACUCAACACCAGUUAUGUUUCAAGCCCUCUGUUAGAUUCAGAGGAUACUGCAAGGGCGACCUUCUGAGGAUGAUACAAGAGAAAGUAUGAGGAGUUAUUCUGUAAACCUAGAAGCAGUACACACAUCUGAAUAGUACAAAGAUGAUGAUGAAGAAGAUGCUGUUGAUGAUGUGACAUCUGUGCAGGAUGCAUGUUGAAGAUGAUGAUGAGCUAAAGUCAAGGAGCACCACCCAACCCAUAUCAACCAUUCACAUCUAUCAGGACCACACAUCUACGUUGAAAGCAAGGAACUGGGAAUAGUUUCUUCUUCUUCCCUGUUAUGUGUGCACCUCCCUUCAUUCCAAGUUGUAGUAUGCAGUGAAAUGACCAGGAAGGAUAAAAAAGGAGGUUAUGGGACUGCUUAAAUCAUUGAACAACAGGAUCACUGACUGUGUCCAAAAAGGUCUUAGCCAAGCCAAGCAGUGGAAAAGGUGAAAUGUUAAUAUGAAUGCAGUAAAUAUUCAGUCCCUAUUUGGAGGAUCUUGGGGAAAAAGGAGAGUGUUGUGUUGGGAAUGACUGGCAGGUAAAUGUCUGCAGGGGCCUACCACAUCACAGAAGACUAUGUCUGGAGGAAAAGGUAUGCCUGACAUCCUUUCCAAUAAAAACCCUGGGAAAAACAUCCGUCAAGUGAUAUUUAGAACUGACAUUUUCAUAAGGAUCCAGUCUAUAGAGGGUUUUUGCAGGGCUUGGAAAACCACGUUUUUCAUUCUUCCUUCUCCUCAUCUUCUGUAAUUAAACAGUGUUUACAGUGUUAAAUGUAUAUUUAAAAAUGACAUGCUUUAAGGAUUACAUUUUAGAAAGCUUUUUAUUUGGGAAUAAUUUUGACAAUAAUAAUGAUCAUUUCAAAAAGUAAUAUUUCCUGAACCUUUUGAGAGUAAGUUAGGUGCACAUCUCAUGGCUCUUUACUCCUAAAUGUUUCCUAUUUCCUCCUAAAGGUACCACAAGCUGGGGUCUUAGACACAGAGGGAGGCUCAAUAUCUGGCACUGAGUUUUGGGAAAUGGAAGCCCAGAUUCUCCAUUUAUUCUCCAGCAAUGAGGAUAUUCCUGAAGAGGCAUGUUGGCUGAAAGAUGCUCACAUAGAAUGACAUAGAGAGAUGUCAGCUCCAUUGCCAGAGGCACUGCUCUGUCUAAUGUUUUCACAUUCUGCUUGGAUGAAGAAAUAGAAGGGACAUUGGCCCUACUGUUCAGGGAUCCUUAUUGGGCAGAGGUGGCUAACACAGUCUCCAGGUCAGAAAAGAUCUUGAUAGCCUGGACCUUUACUGGAUUGCAUAUAGCAUGUACAUUAUAGGGGUACCUGGAUGGCUCAGUCAGUUUAGCAUCUGCCUUUGCCUCAGAUCACAAUCUCGGGGUCUUGGGAUCGAGCCUCGUGUUGGGCUUUCUACUCAGCAGGGAGUCUGCUUCUCUCUCUCUCUCUCUCUGUGCUCUCUCCUCCCUAUUUUGAGUAAAUAAAUAAAAUCUGUAAAAAAAAUAAAGCGUACAUUAUAGAAGCACAAAAUUACUACUGUAUUAUUUCCUUGGUUCUAAGAGACUUUUCACUACUUUUUCUUGUUUCUGAACUUUAGAUGCCCCUAAAAUCUAUGUCAAAGGCAACUAACAGUGUAAUAGUUAAGGGAGUUGUAAAUAGAAAGCCUACCUGCACGGAAGUGCAGGUCCAAUUGAUUUUGCCACCUAGAUUUUCUCCACCGUUGGUUGCAACAUACAGGAAUACAUUUCUUUCGAGGUAUACGUACACUAAGGUGUAUCCUUCUUAUUGUGCAGUUCUAGGAGUUUCAACAAAUACAAUCAUGUGACUGAUACCAAAAUCAACACACAGAAUGGCUACAUCCCUAAAAGUUUCCCUUGUAGCAAACCUUUAUAGCCAAAUCUCUCCCAUGCACUUUGUUUUGUAUCCAGUUAGUUUGGUCUUUUCCAGAAUGCCAUAGAAAUGCAAAAUAUAAAUAUUUAAUUAUAUGGUAUAUAGACUUCCUGAGUCUGGAUUCUUUUACUUAGGGAAUGCAUGUGAAAUUUACCCAUACUGUUGUAUGUAUUAAUAGUCUGCUCCUUUUUAUUGCUGAGUUGUAUUCCGUUGCACAGACUUCUUGUACAAUGUUCACCUGUUCAACAUUUAGUGGACAUGUAUCCUAAUUUCAGGUUUUGGUUAUU